rnacentral:rRNA from 1 species
GAGUUUGAUCCUGGCUCAGGAUGAACGCUGGCGGCGUGCCUAAUACAUGCAAGUCGAGCGAACGGACGAGAAGCUUGCUUCUCUGAUGUUAGCGGCGGACGGGCGAGUAACACGUGGAUAACCUACCUAUAAGACUGGGAUAACUUCGGGAAACCGGAGCUAAUACCGGAUAAUAUUUUGAACCGCAUGGUUCAAAAGUGAAAGACGGUCUUGCUGUCACUUAUAGAUGGAUCCGCGCUGCAUUAGCUAGUUGGUAAGGUAACGGCUUACCAAGGCAACGAUGCAUAGCCGACCUGAGAGGGUGAUCGGCCACACUGGAACUGAGACACGGUCCAGACUCCUACGGGAGGCAGCAGUAGGGAAUCUUCCGCAAUGGGCGAAAGCCUGACGGAGCAACGCCGCGUGAGUGAUGAAGGUCUUCGGAUCGUAAACUCUGUUAUUAGGGAAGACAUAUGUGUAAGUAACUGUGCACAUCUUGACGGUACCUAAUC